rnacentral:rRNA from 1 species
GGGUCAGUAGGUUGGUCGUGCCACCGGUACGUACUGGUCUCACUGAUUCCUCCUUCCUGAAGAACAGUAAUGCCAUUAAUUUGGUGUUGCGGGGAAACAGGACUGUUACUUUUAAAAAAUUAGAGUGUUUAAAGCAAGCUAACGCUUGAAUACAUUAGCAUGGAAUAAUGAAAUAGGACGAUCGAUCCUAUUUUGUUGGUUUCCAGGAUUGACGUA